rnacentral:misc_RNA from 1 species
AGAGAGAGAGAGAGAGAGGAAAUGUAUCACUGCUUGUGUUUGUGUGUGCAUCCAUGUAAAAUAGUUGUGGGCAUCUUCAAAUGUAUCCCCCAACUAAAAAUAGUUUCUGUUUAAGCAUGAGAAAUAACAUGGUCCAUUGUUCGUGUUUCUGUGUCUAUGUGUGCAUGUGCAGGCGGAGAGAUUUUCAUGUUCCUGUGUCUAUUUGUGCAUGUGCGCCAGGGGGUGGGUGGGUGUGGGUGGCGUAGUGGAGGUUUUUCAACUGUGCAAAAUUCUAUUUCUAUUCUUUUAGACUGAUCUGUUCCCAGAACCAGAAGCUGUAUGAAGGAGUAACUGGGUAAUGAUUCUGCAUCAAAGCCUAUGGAGGUUAGGUGGAUAUACGUCACACUAGGUUCACAUUUGCUGAUAUAAUUCUGGAGUCUUGUUCUCAAAUCAUGUGGUUAAGAAGCUUUAUAGGUCUGAAUGCCUUGAUAAGAAUUUACAACUCGCCUUUGAAAACCCGUCAAUUAUGGAAAGUUUGUUUCAAGUUCUGAAAUUUAAAUAUGCUAAGACUGACUUCUGCAUCUAUAAAAUUUGAGAUGUGCUGUAACGUUCUGUGCAUAUCAGGAGUUCCAGAUUUCUCACUAUAUUUUCUCUUACCAUGCAUUGGCAGGUAUGUAGCUGUAGGAAA